CCUACGGGAGGCUGCAGUGGGGAAUAUUGCACAAUGGUGGAAACCCUGAUGCAGCAACGCCGCGUGGGUGAGGGAGGGUUUCGGCACGUAAAGCCCUUUCAGCGAGGGAGAAGAAAGACGGUACCCGACCAGGAAGCCCCGACUAACUACGUGCCAGCCGCCGGGGUAAUACGGAGGGGGCGAGCGUUAUCCGGAAUUACUGGGUGUAAAGGGAUCGUAGACGGCGAGGUAAGCCUGAGGUGGAAGCCCGCGGCCCAACCGCGGAACUGCUUUGGGAACUGUGUUGCUGGAGUAUGGGAGGGGUAAGCGGAAUUCCUGGUGUAGCGGUGAAAUGCGUAGAUAUCAGGAGGAACACCGGUGGCGAAGGCGGCUUACUGGACCAUAACUGACGUUGAGGCUCGAAAGCGUGGGGAGCGAACAGGAUUAGAUACCCGAGUAGUC
rnacentral:rRNA from 1 species